CGGCGGACGGGUGAGUAACACGUGGGUAAUCUGCCUUAUACAGGGGGAUAACAGUUAGAAAUGACUGCUAAUACCGCAUAAGCGCACAGGAACGCAUGUUUCCGUGUGAAAAACUCCGGUAGUAUAAGAUGAGCCCGCGUCUGAUUAGCUAGUUGGUGGGGUAACGGCCUACCAAGGCGACGAUCAGUAGCCGGCCUGAGAGGGUGAACGGCCACAUUGGGACUGAGACACGGCCCAAACUCCUACGGGAGGCAGCAG
rnacentral:rRNA from 1 species